GCCUGGGUGGCUCGGUUGGUUGAGCGUCCGACUUCAGCUCAGGUCAUGAUCUCAUGGUUCGUGGGUUUGAGCCCCACAUCGGGCU
rfam:Felis catus isolate Cinnamon breed Abyssinian chromosome F2, whole genome shotgun sequence.